rnacentral:tRNA from 1 species
GUUGAGUUAGCUCAGCUGGGGUAAAGUUUGACCCUGCUCCAUUUGACUUCCUAUCUGAAGGUCAUGCGUUCGAUCCGCAUACUCGACA